GAAACCCUGUCUCUACUAAAAAUACAAAAUACAAAAAAAAUCAGCCUGGCAUGGUGGCGGGCGCCUGUGGUCCCAGCUACUCUGGAGGCUGACGCAGGAGAAUGCCGUGAACCCGGGAGGCGGAGCUUGCAGAGAGCCGGAGAUCACGCCACUGCACUCCAGCCUGGGCUACAGAGCAAGACUCCGUCUCAAAAAAAACCAAAACAAAACAAAACAAAAAAAACACCCAGUUUUUCCAUGGAGUGAUAGAAUUUAAUUGAUGAGCUUGACGAGCUUAAUUACAGAAGGGAGAGCUCCAAAAUACAUGUCUGCAGCUUCACUCGUGCCUGAGCCAGCGAGAGCAGGAACCCACCAGAAGGAAGAAACUCCAAACACAUCCGAACAUCAGAAGGAACAAACUCCAGAUGCGCCACCUUAAGAGCUGUAACACUCACCACGAGGGUCCGGGGCUUCGUUCUUGAAGUCAGUGAGACCAAGAACCCACCAAUUCUGGACACAGGAGCACAGGUGUCUUUUCAAGAUUCUGAUUUCAUUUCCUUUGGAUGUAUACCCAGCAGUGGGAUUUGUGUUCAUAAGGUCAUCACUAAGCAAGUUCUUCCCACUCAUGGAUUCUAGAGGAGUUCACCCAUGUCCAGAGAAAGUUUGCAGAUCCAGCAUUUGUGAAAAUCACAGAAGAUCAUAUGAGAAGGCACCAUUUUAAUGAAAGAACAAGAAACCUGAAAUUCAAUAACAAAGCCUGAAGGCUAGAAAAGGUUAUGAAAUAGCCCAUGAUAAGCACAGGUGGAAAAUUGACACAAAGAGUUUUCUGCUAUGCCAAAUAAAUUUUGUUGUCUUUGUGUGUGUGUAUGCUGCGUAUCUUAAAACCAUAACAUUUUCACUGACAUUGAAUCAUCCUCCUCAGUAACUGAGGGAAACUUCCUUGGGAACCCACCUUAAAUUUUACCAUCUUUGGCAGCUUUUGAAAUGACUCUAUCUUCAAAUUCUUGAAUUUCCACAUUCUCUUCUCUGACUUUACCUUUGAUUAUUUUGCUCUCAGUAAAUCUGCAUCUCAGUCUUCCUCUUCUCAGUUCUAUCCUAGUGUACCAGCCCAUUAACCCCUGUUUGAUUUUAUUUGGCUCUCUUCCUCCAUGGGGCUACACGUAAGCCUCAUGCUCAUUGUAGUCCCUGUCUCUCUUCAACACUGGUAUCUUACCACCUCUCCAUAACUUCCCACUAUUUCUUUCUUGCCAAUCAUCAACCCUGUGUAAUAUCUACUGUCUUAUUUUCUUUGACGCUAGAAAUCAAGGCCCUGAUGGUCAAAGGCAUUAAACAAUCUAUGGGUUUGCCAUAAGUGCAUUAUGUGGUUUAUUAUUUUGCAGAUAUUUAAUGUGGUACAUGAUAAAAUGUUACUUUUUCUACUAAUCUUAUUUAUGUAGCCGAAAAUCUAGAAAAAUGUUUUUCUU
rnacentral:lncRNA from 10 species